rnacentral:snRNA from 1 species
GAAUGUGAGGGCGAGCUGGCUGCGACAUCUGUCACCCCAAUGAUCACUAUGGUCGAUUUGAUUUGAUUGAUUUGGCUGGCUAAGUGGGUGUCCCCUUCCUCUCUCAAUGCUUCCUGUGUGUCCUUCUGGAAGCUUUAUGCUUGGAGGUAGAGGACGGCCUUCCCCAAAUGGAGAUUGACACUUCCUUGGUCGAGGGUGUGCAGGUAGCUGCACUUCCCUGCUAGAACCUCCAAACAAACUCUCAAGAGUACUCUAACCAUCUGGGGAGUAAAAGUUACAUAUCACAGAAUUGGUUUUUAU